GAAGGACUUCAUUUUCAGAAGACCUAGUCUAUAGGAAAUAGUAAGAGAUAUUCUUUAUGGAGAGAGACUAUGAGAGCAGAUGGCAGCUUGGACUUAUGCAAAGAAAUGAACACUGAAAAUGGAAGCAAUGAUGGAACACUGGCAGUAUCUGGUGACCAUUUUGGUUGUGACACUGGACUGGUGCUACUUCUGUCUAAUGGUUGCAAGAAGAAUCACUGACCUGCCACAACUUAUUAUACAUUUCCUGGAAGUGAAGUUCAUUUUCUGUCAAAGAGAAAAAGAGAAGUAAAUUCCAUCAUCUAUCUAUUAACCAAACCACUGGGAAAUAAUGGUCCAUAUUCAGCAAGAAAUUGCC